rnacentral:rRNA from 1 species
AUUGAACGCUGGCGGCAGGCCUAACACAUGCAAGUCGAACGGUAACAGGAAGAAGCUUGCUUCUUUGCUGACGAGUGGCGGACGGGUGAGUAAUGUCUGGGAAACUGCCUGAUGGAGGGGGAUAACUACUGGAAACGGUAGCUAAUACCGCAUAACGUCGCAAGACCAAAGAGGGGGACCUUCGGGCCUCUUGCCUUCGGAUGUGCCCAGGUGGGAUUAGCUAGUAGGUGGGGUAACGGCUCACCUAGGCGACGAUCCCUAGCUGGUCUGAGAGGAUGACCAGCCACACUGGAACUGAGACACGGUCCAGACUCCUACGGGAGGCAGCAGUGGGGAAUAUUGCACAAUGGGCGCAAGCCUGAUGCAGCCAUGCCGCGUGUAUGAAGAAGGCCUUCGGGUUGUAAAGUACUUUCAGCGGGGAGGAAGGGAGUAAAGUUAAUACCUUUGCUCAUUGACGUUACCCACAGAAGAAGCACCGGCUAACUCCGUG